AUUGAACGCUGGCGGCAGGCCUAACACAUGCAAGUCGGGCGGCAGCGGGGGGAAGCUUGCUUCCCCGCCGGCGAGCGGCGGACGGGUGAGUAAUGUCUGGGAAACUGCCUGAUGGAGGGGGAUAACUACUGGAAACGGUAGCUAAUACCGCAUAACGUCUUCGGACCAAAGUAGGGGACCUUCGGGCCUCAUGCCAUCAGAUGUGCCCAGAUGGGAUUAGCUUGUUGGUGGGGUAACGGCUCACCAAGGCGACGAUCCCUAGCUGGUCUGAGAGGAUGACCAGCCACACUGGAACUGAGACACGGUCCAGACUCCUACGGGAGGCAGCAGUGGGGAAUAUUGCACAAUGGGCGCAAGCCUGAUGCAGCCAUGCCGCGUGUAUGAAGAAGGCCUUCGGGUUGUAAACUACUUUCAGCGGGGAGGAAGGUGUUGAGGUUAAUAACCACAGCAAUUGACAUUACCCGCAGAAGAAGCACCGGCUAACUCCGUGCCAGCCGCCGCCGUAAUAC
rnacentral:rRNA from 1 species